rnacentral:lncRNA from 1 species
CAGAAAACGUAACAGCCCAGCUUUGAUUAAAGAUGACUUCCUUGUUUACUCAAGAAGUUCACCUUUCUAAAAGACAUGAAGAAAUAGUGUCCCAAAGAUUAAUGUUACUUCAGAAAAUGAAAAAUAAAUUCGGAGAUCAAAGCACAGAAAGGGCAUCUCUCCAAGCCACGGAGACUGCUUGUAGAAGGAACCUCCAGCUCUUGCAGAAACCUCAGUUUGGAACUGAAUGUGACAGCUCACACCUGUAAUCUUGGGAGGUGAAGCAGGACUGCUGUGAAUUUGAGUGAAGCCUGAGCCACAGAUUGAAACCUUGUUUGGAAAACAAACCCAAGUGCUUGGUCCUCCAAGAGCUCCUCAACACCACAUACCUGUAGGGUUUAUGCUCCAAGACUUCCCAGAAGACACCUGGAACCAUGGAUCACACCACAUCCUCUGUACAAUGUUCACUCGUAUUUGCAUUCUUGUAAUGAGACUUAACUUAUGAAUAAGACACAGAAAGGAAUCAGCAACAAUAAAGUAUGAUGGCUAUAUUUUAGUAAAAACUGGGUGGAUGUGGUUUCAGGGGCCUGU